CGUAUCUUAAAUAAAUCUUAAUAGAUGUUGUAAGAGUAAACAAGAUUUUAUUUUCUGUAAAGUGGAAAAGUAUUUCAGUUGAAAUCCUUCCAUUGGAUUUCCAAUUGGCACUCUUUGUUUAUAGUCUUUAUUUUCAAACAUAAAAUAUGUAAUAUAUUACAUUGGUAAUAUCCCCGAUAGGGUUCACUGUCAUUUGCAUUAGGGAUAUUAUCCUUCGAGAAUUUACAAGUUCUUGAAGGAGAGAACAUCAGAGGUGGCUCAAAGGAUGGGUAUAUUUUUUCAAAGUCCAAUAACUAUCGAUAUAUUAGACAAAACAAUAACAAAGAUUUCCCCUUGUUCCUACAUUGUAAAGGAAUAUUGAAUUCUGCCUAUCCAAGACUCUUUGGAUAUGUAAAGAUGUAUAAAAAAGUGAUUAGCAUGCAUCCAAUGAUAGAGAAAUGCCUCUCUCCUAUAUAUAAAUUAGAUCCUAGCUAAAUGACGCAUAGAAAAGUUAAAAGAGUACGAAUACGAAAUUACCUCAUCAGCAAGUUUCUUGAAAAGAAUUAUGGAAACAAGUUAUAUUCGUAAAACCAUGACAGAGUUGCAUUCAUCAUUUUUUCAAAAUCCAAUGCUAACUUCUCUGCUAUCUCUGAUGCGCUUACCCUUCUCUAAGUUCUUAAUAAAAAAUAUUCCUAAUGCAAAAUACAUUGUAAACACUGUCAAGGAUAUUGCCAACAUAACAUAUUACGAAUCAUAUUUUAUAUUUUUCAAAAUAAAUAUUAUAAACAGAAUUGCAAUGGCAGAGUUUUAGCUGAAAUGCUUCAUUUUGUAGAGAAUAAAAUCUUGGUUAUUUUUAAAGUAUAAGAUUUAUUUCAGAUACAUGAAUGAUAUUUUUAUCGCUUGCAAAUGUGAAAUAACACCUUUUUCAAACAAUAA
rnacentral:lncRNA from 1 species